rnacentral:lncRNA from 1 species
UUACGAUACAAACAUGAAGUUUACAUAACAGAUUUAGGUAUCAAAAUACAUGUAGGACAAGAGCAUACAAGAAUUCAAAGCAGUAAUAUAGAGCUCAAUUGAAAAAGAAAGCUAAAGGAUAUCAAUUUCCAAAGGAAUGAAACCAGAAUAUACGAAAUCGACCAAAGCUCGAUUUCUGGCAGAAUUCAAGAGGCACAUUGAACAAAUGAUUCAAACUAUCAAUCGUGCUCCAAUAUACUCAAGAAAGCUAUCAAAAGAAAUGUUUAUGAGUCUAUAUUCUGAUCAAAUAAUUUUUGUCUAAAUCAGAGGUCAACACAUGAAGUUAUAAUCAUAACAAGGUAGAAAGGUCAGAAUCUCAAAAGUUGCACAGAUUCGGAUCGAUAUGUCUAAACAAGAGAUAUAUCAAAUGCAAGGCUAGAACAAUUCAAAGUUCCUCAUAUUCAAAGCAAAUGUAGAG